rnacentral:rRNA from 1 species
CGAAGGUGGCAAGCGUUACACGGAAUUACUAGGCGUAAAGCGCAGGUAGGCGGUUCGGUAAGUCUUUUGUGAAAGCUCCCGGCUUAACUGGGAGAGGUCAAGGGAUACUGUCGAGCUAGAGUGUGGUAGAGGAUACUGGAAUUCCCGGUGUAGCGGUGAAAUGCGUAGAUAUCGGGAGGAAUACCUAUGGCGAAAGCAGGUAUCUGGGCCAUCACUGACGCUGAGCUGCGAAAGCUAGGGGAGCAAACAGGAUUAGAUACCCUGGUAGUCCUAGCCCUAAACGAUGCUCAUUAGAUGUGGGGGGUAUCGACCCCUUCCGCGUCGUAGCUAACGCAUUAAAUGAGCCGCCUGGAGAGUACGGCCGCAAGGUUG